GGGUGGAGCGUAUCCAUGGGUUACCGGACGGGACAAGGGUGCAGGAGCAAGCAGAAUAACCCUCUAGACCUUUUUUAAAGGAAAGACAAGCCAACUGCUGGUCUACAUUUACUUAAUGAAGAAAAAACCCACCUCUGUCCAGACCCCGUGGACGAUAUGAUACCUGGCUGGCAUCGACUCCCCCAACCUGGGACGGUUGACCAUCGGGCCUUCCUGGACUCUGAGCAGCGGAGGAGAGAUCUGGAUGUCAGUCUGGCUCAGGUCCAAAAUGCCCUGCAGGAACAGAGGGUCAGAAUGCUCCAGAGAAUGGGCCCAGGGAGCCGACAUAAACUACCUCAGAUACUUGUUUUGAAUCUUGGGCAGAUCAAUCGACCAGUAAACCUCCAUCCCAGUCUGUUAUCAGAGAACAUCUACAUCCCACCAUAUGGUGACCUUUACACAAGAGUGGGCAGGCUAGAGAUGGACUCAGAGAUCAUUAGCGCCCAACUGGACCAGGUUCUCUGUUCUAGGGGAAAGUGUCUCUACAGGAAUGGACCCUCACCCCAACAACACAGCUUGACUCCUUGUCAGAGGGAGGACCAUAGUAUGACCUCUCAGCUUAUUGCUCAAGCAGUAGACAAAGGACAACUUCUGAAAGAGCGAGACAACCUUGAGCGUCUGCUGGAGGAGUCCAGGGCCCAGCAGCAGCUGAUGGAGCAGAAGAGGGAGGCCCAGAUAGCAGCCCUUCACUCCCAGCUGUACCAGGCACGCUCCAGCCUCCAGGAGACCCACAGAGAGACACUGGCCACACAGGCAGAGCUACAUGGCAGCAAGCAGAUAAAUGAGUCCCUGCUACAGGAGGUGGCGUCUCUCAGACGGAGGCCUGGGGCUGCGGAGGAGCGGGCCUCCCUGAUGGAGAGUGACGGACGGCUGCUCAGGGCUCGCAUAGCAGCACUGGAGACUGAGCGGGAGGAGCUGCUUCAACAAGGAGACCUUGCCACAGGGAGACGACACCCCUCAGCCUUUGGGAGUGCUUGGAAAACGGAUGUGGAAGAUUCCAAAAAGUCGGAGGAGUUGAGGGAGGAGAGUGCCGCGUAUGAGAUGGAGGAAGAUGAGGAGGAGAGGGUACAAGGGAAGGAUGUGUCUGUGGACUUAAGACUUAAGAACCGUGAGGUGCCGCUCUCUAAGCCUGGCCUACAGAUAAAGGAAGAGAACCAGAACGGAGAGAAGGGGCUGGGAUUGGUCGAUCGCUGGAAUCCAUGGCAGCACGAGCCAAUAGAAGCCAAUCAACUGAACGAGGGGUUAGGAGUCGAUGAACGUGUUCCUUUCUGCAGAUGACGGCGCUGGUCAUAGAGCUGCAGCAGCUGAGAACGGCCUGUGAAGAGGCAUCAUCAACACUACCGGUCUCCCCCAAGGACCAGAGGGCCAGAGAGUGGCUGUAAAAGAGCUGCUCUGCUCAAGGACUGUGUGGGAGAGAUGGAGAAGGAUAGGGAGGGGCUGGCUUUCCUGGAGAGAGACUGUGGAGUUCUUUGGGUGGUACCUCCAGGAUCAUUGGCCAGAAGUAACCCACUAUACAUUCACAUUGAUCCUUGACUAUGUAGGCCCACAUUUCCAUAUUCUCCACAAUCGUCGACGCUUUCUUUGACAAAAACACGUCUGUUUGCGUAUACAAUAAAUGAUGUCUGAAUCAAGACCGCGGGAAGCGAUCCGCUGAGGCCCUGCGUAUUAAAUUGUGUUCUCAAGUACGUCCUCAAGAACUCCUUUUUAAUGUUUACCUGACAUCACCCGCAUUGUGGACUGUGUACAGCAUUUGGUUUGUCAGUUUAAAAUAAAUAUUGGACUGGCUCAAAUACAACUCCACUAUCCCUAGGCCUUUACGGGUAUACCAUUUGGACAGAAAAAUACCCCUCAAGGAUCUCACCGCCUCAUAUCUUUGUGUUAUUCAUGUACACAAGCUUAGUUGGAGAAAGGCAGGUAUUUUUCAGGCUCCAUUGUAUAGGUUAACCUGUCAAAACAUAUUCCAAAGAUUACACAAUUUACAGUUGGCCUGCAUGCUCAUUUUGUCUAAACAGCGAACAAAUAUUUACUGUGGCUGGGUGUGUGGAGGAAUUAGUCACAUCCUUGAAUGGGUCUUGCUCAAUGUUAGACCGAAUGGUCAUUGCAUACUGUGUGGUUUGCUCUUGUGACCGGUUUGAUACCCCUCCCUCACAGUACAGGAUGUGAUUUCCUGCAUACAUUCAUCAUCCGAGUCUGACUUGCCAGUACAUGACAGCUAGCAAAUGUAAAUGAUGGCGGUGUGCCCUUUUGUGGACAGGAUUUUAUUAACGUUUUCUUUUUUCUUAAUCAAUACAGUUAGAUUACUUAUUUAUUUCACAUAAAAUAAGAAUAAAGUAGAUGUCAUCAACCAAGGACGUUAUCCUUACUCGUGGGUACAAAAUAUGAUCAGCGUAGGUGUUGACUGCUGUGAUUGUUCACACUGGGGUCAAAAUCCCCUUCAACUGCUAAGAUCAAAGGACUAUGACCCACACGCGCCAGUUCAUCCCCACCACAAUCUCAAAGGAGACAUUUUGUCCCCCCCAGGUCCUUGGCUAUCUCACUCUGGGGUGCCUGAAUGGAGAGAGGACUGUUUACUAGUUAGAACCAGGCGUUGAGCGGAGAAACAUUACAGAAGGUUCAGAUAGAAUUAGAGGUCAAAUGCUGAAUGUGUGUGUAACUGUAAUGCGGUUUUCAACAAGUGCACUUGCCAGAUCACCAUAGACUAGUCUUGUUACUAUGACCUACCUGUGUACAAGUCCCAGGGACACCUUGAAAAGAAGGCCCCAUCCCCAUCGGCUCGUCCACAGCUGUCUAGACUCUCUGGCUCCAUGUCUUUGGUGGCAAUAAUAAACUGAGAUCACACCAGGUCCCUGACCCGUAAUGGUGCCACGGACGCCAAAUUGAGGAAGACUAGUGACAUCAAACUUUUAAAUUGAAUGACCUGUUGUUCAAGGUAAAAGGUCAGGCCACCUGGAUAUAUAAAGAGGCAUUUGUGACAAUACUGACCUGCACAUUAGGUCUAUUCCUCUUGGUAGGCCAAGUAGGUGAGUGACGCUUGCUCACCCCCCCCCCCCCCCAAAAAAUCCACCUUGACGAUGUCGCCUGACUUGGCCGUUACGAUGCCAAACACACUCUUUCCCCCAUCGCUGGAACAUACUGGCAGAGAAAAUAAGGAGUUUUGGACUAGUCUUAUUCGUUUUGACUAAAAUAUUAAGUCUUUGUCAUGAAUAACGAUUUAGUCUUUUGUCAAAAUGACAGUCAGCCAUUUUAGUCAGCUAAAUGCCCUUUAAUUUUAGUCACAUCACAUUUGCCUUGCCUCACUAACCUACAGUAAACACAUCACUGACUUCCAUGUGCACAAACAUACAUAGCCCUGUCUUAUCAACAUAUUUCUGCAUAACAUCCUUUCACCUGAUGCUCUUCCCAACAACCAAAUUGGCAGAAUAGCAUAUUACUCAGCAGCAGAUUAAAACACAAAUGGUACCUCUAACCUUUUCAGUUGAUGGCAUCAGCCUAUGAUUUGGUUGCAGCAAUAAUUUUCCUGCGGUGUCAUGUAAUGUUUAUUAAGCACCUCGGAAAGUAAUACACAGUGCUUUAGACUGUGUAACAGACUAUAGAGAUGGUAGGCUAUUCAAUAAAUAAGUGGUUUCAUUUAACGUGUUCAAGCAGGAAUGCAUGAUUCAAGAUAUUUUGAUGUGCAACCUAAUAAAGUGAUUGUCAACCCUAAAUUCUUGACAAUCAGGCUAUUGUAUAUUUUACUAUUAAAAUAGGGCUCCUGGAUUUUAUGAAUUUUGUUGCUCAAUACAGAUGAAUUUGCCUACAUUUUUAUCAUAGGCAAAUUUAUUUUGGGGCUAAAUCACCACAUGAGGAAGUGAAAGCAAUCUAGCUAAUGUGUUUUGAGUCAACACUAAAUAUACUGAACAAAAAUAUAAAAUGCAACAUGUUAAAGUGCUGGUUUCAUGAGCAUGAAAUAAAAGAUCCCAAAAAUGU